AGAUGUGAGGAUGAUCUGGCUGCGACGUCCGUCACCCAUUGAUCACCAGGAUUGAAUUGGCUGACCUGGCUGGCUAGGUGGGUGUCCCCCUCCUUCCUCACCGAUCCAUGUGCGUCCCUCCCGGAGCUGUGUGCUUGAUCGAAGCGGAUGACCUUCCCCCCAGAGGAGAGGACCGGUCUUCGGUCAAGGAUAUACAAAUAGCUGUGCUCCCCUGCGAGAACCUCCAAACGGGCUCUCAAAGUGCAUAGACAGAGAAUGGAAAAAGAGUUAUCCUAUCACCAGAAAUAGGAUAAUGUGGAUGGGGUGGGGAACAGCAACUGUCUACAACUAUUA
rfam:Myotis davidii contig15715, whole genome shotgun sequence.